GACGAACGCUGGCGGCGUGCCUAAUACAUGCAAGUCGAACGCAGUGGGGACGGGUGAGUAACACGUGGGUAACCUCCCAUCAGAGGGGAUAACACUUGGAAACAGGUGCUAAACCUAUACUGAUGGAUGGACCCGCGGUGCAUUAGCUAGUUGGUGAGGUAACGGCUCACAAAGGCACCGAUGCAUAGCCGACCUGGGAGGUGGAUCGGCAAAACUGGGAUGGAGACACGGCCCAGACUCCUACGGGAGGCAGCAGGAGGGAAUGUUCGGAAAUGGACGAAAGUCUGACCGAGCAACGCCGCGUGAGUGAAGAAGGUUUUCGGAUCGUAAAACUCUGUUGUUAGAGAAGCGGUAUCUAACCAGAAAGCCACGGCUAACUACGUGCCAGCAGCCGCGUAAUUC
rnacentral:rRNA from 1 species